GUUUGGAAAGACCCACCACAGAAGGUAAUAGUCCUGUAUGUUAAACGAGAAGACUUUAGAUAUGAUCCAGAGUACCACGGGACACGUGAAACCCUGUGGGAAGCAGGAGGGACCACCCUCCAAGGCUAAAUACUACCUAGUGACCGAUAGCGUAUAGUACCGUGAGGGAAAGGUGAAAAGAACCCCGGGAGGGGAGUGAAAUAGAACCUGAAACCCUGCACUUACAAGCUGUGGAAGCACAUUUCUUGUGUGACCGCGUACUUUUUGUAGAACGGGCCAACGAGUUACGUUAAGUAG
rnacentral:rRNA from 1 species